AGUUAACUCUGGCGGUAGGCCUAACACAUGCAAGUCGAACGGCAGCACAGUAAGAGCUUGCUCUUACGGGUGGCGAGUGGCGGACGGGUGAGGAAUACAUCGGAAUCUACUUUUUCGUGGGGGAUAACGUAGGGAAACUUACGCUAAUACCGCAUACGACCUACGGGUGAAAGCAGGGGAUCUUCGGACCUUGCGCGAUUGAAUGAGCCGAUGUCGGAUUAGCUAGUUGGCGGGGUAAAGGCCCACCAAGGCGACGAUCCGUAGCUGGUCUGAGAGGAUGAUCAGCCACACUGGAACUGAGACACGGUCCAGACUCCUACGGGAGGCAGCAGUGGGGAAUAUUGGACAAUGGGCGCAAGCCUGAUCCAGCCAUACCGCGUGGGUGAAGCAGGCCUUCGGGUUGUAAAGCCCUUUUGUUGGGAAAGAAAAGCAGCAGGUUAAUACCCCGCUGUUCUGACGGUACCCAAAGAAUAAGCACCGGCUAACUUCGUG
rnacentral:rRNA from 1 species